rnacentral:rRNA from 1 species
AGAACGAACGCUGGCGGUAUGCCUAACACAUGCAAGUCGAACGAGACCUUCGGGUCUAGUGGCGCACGGGUGCGUAACGCGUGGGAAUCUGCCUUUGGGUUCGGAAUAACAGUUGGAAACGACUGCUAAUACCGGAUGAUGACGUAAGUCCAAAGAUUUAUCGCCCAGGGAUGAGCCCGCGUAGGAUUAGCUAGUUGGUGAGGUAAAAGCUCACCAAGGCGACGACCCUUAGCUGGUCUGAGAGGAUGAUCAGCCACACUGGGACUGAGACACGGCCCAGACCUCCGUACGGGAGGCAGCGAGUGGGGAAUAGUUGGACAAGUGGGCGCGAAGCCUGACUCCAGCAAUCGACCGCGUGAGUGAUGGAACGGUCCGUUAGGUAGUAAGUCCUUACGUUUACCGGGAUAGAUAAGUGACGAGUACGGAGAACGUAACGCCCCGG